AGUUGGUUCCCGGAGGCAGAAUCUGUUAAACUGACAAAGCCCACGUCUCCGGGUCCCUGUCUCGGGGAGUCGGGACUAUUGGGUCACCCCGGGUAGUCGAGACUCUAGACUGAGCUGUCUCGGUCACUCAGGAGGCAGUUGGCAGAGUAUUCGUGGUCAGGGAGGUGACCCGUGGUCAGCAGGGUCAGGCCACCCAGGGACAAAGGGUGCUCCUGCACCGGGCCUUGGAGAAGGACAGAGCGGUGGGGACUUGGGGUCAGCGGGGGAGCCUCCGCGGAUGGGGAGUCACCACCUGCCGGCAAUCAGCCAUGACUGCCUUUGCACUGUCCAUGCUCUCAGCCCACCACCUCCUCCCCCUGCCAUUGCAGUGGCUAACACUGGAGACGAAGACCAAGACACCACAGCCUUUCUCCAGUACCUCUCAAAUCAGCACAGACAAGGACAAAGGCCUCAAUCCACAACUGCUGAAGAUGGACCCUGGCCACAUGGGAUGGUCAGACACGCCUGCCCAGCUAUCUGCAGGCGAAGAGGCUCAGAAGAGGUUUAGGGGCCUGAAGGACAUCUUGCUUCCAUGUCCAUAUGAGCAGGCUAUUUCUGCUCCAUGAGUCAAUUUUGCCAUAUAAAAUACUUAAUUUCAGCCAUUCCAGGGUGCUAUAGGAUGCACAGCUUCCCAUCAGCCCACCUGAACUCCAGCCAUGCCAUUUUAAUACCAGGAAUAAGGUCACCUGCUUUCCUGCCCCUUAGGAGGCCGGAGCCGUGGAAGCAAAAUGGCACUUCUGUUUACCUGUUAUAUUAUUUUUUUGUCAUCCUUAUAUGUUUGAAAAAUGCAAUUAUAUGAAAAAAGUUUAGUAAUUACAGACAUAACAGCAGAAAGUCCUCGGAACCAAGCUUAUUCUCAUGGCCGAUUCUGCUCCACCUGGGACUCUGCUGUGCUGCGGGCAUCCUGUGGUCAGAAUCGCAGAGGGGCCAUCAGGGAGGACCUUCCCAGAGGAUGGACCUCACGUGACUGCUGCGUGGGCAAGUGGCACUGGCCACUCUGCCUGGAGAGAGGAGUAAAUGCAGGGCUGGCCAGGCGACCUGCACACUCUGCUACCGGCCUUGUCCAUCUUUAGCCUCUAAUUUGAAAAUGAGGAUCACACAGACCAAGAGUAUCUUUGAGGGUUAGUACAGACCACAGAAAUGCCCUGGGCCUUUCACUCUCUCCUUUUGCAAAUUCCCAUGUGUGGAAAUGCCGUUUGGAUAAUGAGGGAGCCUGAAGGAGGUGGACACAUGAGCAGCCCCGACAGGCCUGGCUCCAUCCUCUGAAAAUGGGGCCCCGUGCCCGGCGUGUGGCCUUACUGGUUCAGUCUUCUUUACAGUGGUAGGUUUUGAGUGCCCAGAUGCCCAGUGCCUCCUACCCGGAACAGGACAGGACCAGGCUGUCCCCUGGAAGAAUCCCAUGCACACUUGGCUAUUCAGGGAGUUUCCACCCAGCCGAGCUCGCCUCUGUGGCUACCCUGGUCUUGCUGCUCAUAUCUGCCAGGAAAGGCCUGGACUUGGAGAGAAACCUGGGAUUUGGAUUCAGUCCUUGCCAGCCUGGCUGGUUCAUAUCCUUACCUCUGUCUGUGGAAGCCUAUGUUCCUGAGCAGCGAGUCAGAGGGGGCAUCUGAACGCAGAGCAGGGAGCUUCAGAUGGGAAGAAGUCAGAGGAACCAGAAUGUAUCAGACGAUGUGGAGUUGGGUGCCUGAGCUCAAAGCAAGCUGGGCCUUGGGCUGGCUGUGUGAUCUUGGGCAAGUUCGACCAGCUUCUUUGUGCCUCUUUUCUCUCCUUAAUAAGAUAAAUGUCUUCACUAGUACACUGAGGGCUGCCAUUAAGUUCUAUGUGCAGGGAUCCAAGGCAGGCCCUAGGUCUCUUGGUGAGUGCUACUCCUCCUUACAAUUUGCUGCCCGGAGCAACAUUGGGUGACAGAACUUCUUAGCACCUUGGCAGUCCUUGUCCUCCUGGACCCUCUGUUUUGAGGGUGGAAUGAGGUGAAGGGCAAGUGCUUUCCCAGCUGGUCAGGUGCUCUACCAACUGGGCAUAUUCUAAUCCCCCCAGAGUAUACAGAUCAGAGUUUGAUGUGGCCAAUGGGUCCAAUGCCCAAGUGAGAAUCUCUUGAUGAAGUUAUUGGUGUGGGGUUUUGCUUUGGUUUUUAAUUAUAGAGAGCAAAAGUAUUGAAAGUAUUACAUUUACCCUAAAGGUGUAAGCAAGUUAUGGUCAAGUGAAGAUGAAGUACCAUCCUCAAACACGGGUUCCAUUCUUAGCUCAUCUCAUUUAAAGGAGAGAAAAGCCUUGCAGGUGAAACAUGGUGGGGGUAGACAGGGGUUCAGCCAAUUUCAGUGUUUGGCCCCAAGAAGUGAAUUUGGGUUUGAGGACCUCUCUCUGGAAGGAUUUUAUGACCAGAUCUUCCUGGAGAUGAUAUUAGAAGCUUUUCUCACCAAAUAUUUAUUUGCCUGGGGUGCAACUUCUGCUUCAUUCUCUCUUUGACUCCAGCUGUCUUUUUGGACUGAAGUGCAGGUUGCUCACAGCAUCCUACAAAGUAACUGUCUUCCCAAAUCUCACUUACCUCUGAGUUUCUGCUGUAUUCCUGUCUUUCUCUCUCUCUUUUUGAACUGGAAUCUAUUACUUUGGAUGAUGCAUGCUGGCGUUUUCUAAAGUUUUCUGAUUGAUUGUGUCUUUAAAAAAUAAUCUGAUAGUAUUUUAGCUUCUUGAAUUUUGUGGCAUAUUUUUAGGCCUCUCCUAAACCCAUUUUUGAGUGCUAUGACAUUGUUCAUGUAUGAAGUUAUGCCAGUAGAAACAAAAUGCUGUCAUAUAGGCUCCCCUAAAACUUCAAAUCUGGUCCAGAUCUUAGACUGGCAGCUUCUGCUGUCAUUGGAUCUCAGUGAGACCUUUGCACCCAUUUCCUCCCUUUGUGAUUCAUCCACGGACAUCCCCAUCUCCUUGAGAACAAUCUCAGGAAUAUUCCUUGCCUUCUUUCGGCUCUCACUCCAUCUCAUUUUCUGCUGUUCACUCGGGAAUAAAGAGAUGUCCCACACUUUAAAGAGUAAAAACAAAAAUUGGAGCUCAGAGAGGGUGAACUUGUCAAUAUCACACAGAGCUGGGAGUGUGGUAAGCCCUUGAAAUGGGGCUCAAUGACACCGCUACCUCCCAGGGAUUCCUAAUGUCUGAGGGUUCCAGUGAGCUGAGAUGAACCCAGGGCCUAAGAAGAACUCUCUGACCUCCUCACCUCCAAAGCCCCACCCAGUGCACAUGGCCUGAGGCGUCCAUGGUGAUGGUAAAGAAACCUCACCUGCCAUCUCUCCCAUUACUGCCAUGUCCCCUCUCAUCCUAUUCUGUGCCAAAUGUCCAGAUGUGAUCAAUAGAAUCAGGAGAAAAUUGAGGCCUGAGGGGAGGGGGCCAGACUCUGGGAGUGGAGAGUGGAUUGAAGUCAGACUAGGGCUGUUCAGCAAGGAGUUCAGGGCCUUCAAGUGUUGGGAGCUUGGCAGCAAUGCCAAGGGGAAUGGGGGUGGAUUUGGGUCCAAGUUUAUGUUCGAAGAAUAUAAGCAUGAUUUGGAGACUCCUGAUGUUCAUAUGCCCCCAUCAAGCAGAGCUAGGGGUCGCCAGAGGAGAGAAUGGUGCUAGAAGUUCAGGUGAGAACAGGGCAGACCCCUGCAUAAAUGUGGGAUCUCUCUGUUUGAAUCACGGCCCAAACACCGUGGCAGGGACACUCCCAAGGAACUCAAACAUGUAUUUUAUCAGGGCUUUAACAUAAGGAAUAUUGAUUCUUAAGAAAAUUGGAAACAUAUGAGAAUCUAAUUUACUCUGUUAUGAGAUGCCAUACACCUGGAAGAACAGGUUAACUGUCAAAUUACUACCAAAUUGUUGCAAAAAAUUGCCAAUGAAGCAAUCAUACAAAGCUCAGGUAACAGAGUGGGUGGCCAUCACUCUGGGAGAGGGAGAUAGCACUGGAGAAGGUCCUUGUGACUCAGAUCAAAGAGAGCAAAUGGCAAAGAAGGGGGACAGUUGCUGUUUUCUGAAGUAAAGCCUCUUAGGUGUUAUUUGACCAUUUGUUACCUGUGAAUGUAUAAUUUUGAUUUUUAAAAUAAGUAGAAAGGAGCCUCUUUCUUAAAACCAACCAAUCUCUGAGCCCCACAGAUGGUAUUCUGGUUUCUUGCAGGAGGUUCUGGGUCCCACCCGCCUGCCCCCUUCUAGGACAACCCCACCAGCAAGGAGGUCUUUUAGUUCCUUCUGUGUGUGUUCACCUGCUCGUCCUGGCUUGGGCCCCAGGGAGCCCAGGAACCUCAGGGUUCUCUCAGCUGCACUUCCAUCCGUGGUGCCCAACCUCAGUGCCUAGGACUCUGUGUGCCUGACCUCCUCCAGGCGGGGCUGCUCCCUCCAGGUGUCCACCUGGUAUGGGCAUCCCGUGGCAGCUCUCCUCUGAUGACCGAGUGUGGUGGGGGUGCUAAGGCCAACUUGCUGCUGGCACGCCCAGAACUUAUUUGCUGGCUGUUUCAAAGACUCCCUAAAGGCACCAUGGAUUUUCCUUAGAAUACAGUUCUGUGCAGUCCCGCCCAUCCUCUUCCCCUCUGUUUCCCACUAGGGCUGAUACUUGCUUUAAGGUCUGAUGGCUCACCCAGUCCUUCAUAAUUUUCACAAUGUUAUGUUCCUUCCUAAAACCCUUGCAGUUUAAUCUGCUCUUGGCGUCUGCUUCUCAGAGGAGCUGAGGAACAGAGACUUCAACCCUUCUUCUCUCAGUUCCUGCUGCCCCUGUAGUGAGGCUGACAGUUGCAGACCAUAGAGCCAGCCUGGCCUUGCCCAGAGCAUACAUGACCUCUUAGUAAGGCUGGGCCCUGCUAAGGGCUAUGUUUUGCACACGUUCCUGCUAGUCACAUCCAGCACAUCUGGGCUACCACUUGGAUGGCAACAUUACAUUGAAGACCACUGUGGCCAUGGCAGGAGUAGACAAGGUGGCAGUCUUGUCUUCAGUCGUCAUGGAAAUCCCAGCUAUGCAGCACUAGCAGGUGUUUUGUAAUGGAGGAUCAGAUGCUUGAGCUUCUGAGCAGGCCCCCUCCCUCUACUGCCUUCUGUCAGGGUCUUGGCAGCAGCCGGCUCUGGAAGGCAUCCCGGCUCUGGGUUCAAGAGCUUGCUGGGCUUCUACAUGAAGGUGUGAAGUGUGAAUGUUACCUUUUCUGAUUUACACUUCUGUUUUCUGCUACAAACUUGGGAUGUUUUCUGAGGGAUGCUGAAUAGAUGGGGGUGGAUGGGGGGAGGGAGGCAGGGGCUAGAAAGUGUUCUUCUGGGGCCACCCUCCAGCCUGGGGCAUCUGAUGGAUGAGGAGGGGAGAAUCUUUGAGAUCCUGUUUAUGAGGGCACUGCAAAUACCACAUUUUUUUCUUGUUUGCAAAUUCUAGUGGAGAAGUUUUACCAGGUUGGGAGAGAGGCCUCAGAAUUAAGUCCCUGUCUCCUGCCACAGUUUACACCGGUGAAGCUUCCUGGCCGAGCAUAAACUCCCAGGUGGAGUACAAACAGCCUUCAACAAUGGCACCAUCAUUGGUACCAAUGGCAUUGAGAGGAGGUGGCACUGACACCCUAAGUGGGUGGCACUGACACCUAAGACUUAUGGUCUUCUGCUGCCUGGAGAGCUUUGCCUCCAUCACUGGUGCCCACCUUGGGAAUUCCCAGGAAUUACUCUUCAAAGGUACACUCGGACGCCCACUCUGCAAGGCCAUUUUGUUCCCUUACAGUGCCUCUGAAAUCAUUUUGAGAGAGGAGAAUAGGGAAUUAGGGUAAACAACGGUUAAGGCAUAAGCAAAAGAACAGCAGGUGCAGCCAGCUCUAGACAGCAUAUAGGCCACAUCCUCACUCCUGUUAUAACAAAACAGAAGUUUCCACUUCAGCCUUUUGUUUCAUCCUGGGUAAGUCCUUCAUAGGGUGUAACCAAUUGGAGGCCUCUAAAGGGCACCUAGGGGUGUUGCUAAAUUAUUAAUAGCUUAAAACCCUAAAGAACAUUGUAAUCAGCGCUCUUGAGCCCUUUACAUAAGUUGGCUUCCACUCUGUGGAGUGUACUUUGCUUCAAUAAAUCUGUGCUUUCAUUGCUUCAUUCUUUUUUUGCUUUGUUUGUGCACAACAAAUCUGUGCUUUUGUUGCUUCUUUCAUUGCUUUGCUCUUUUGUUGCUUUGGCUGAGUGUUUUGUUCAUUCUUUGUUCAAUGCCCCAUGAGCCUGGACAACUCAGAGUCAAGACUUUUUACCUCGUAACAGUUUGUUAUCCCAGAACUUGCAAAUCUAUCUGUCUUCUGUGUGUGGCUUUCUAUGUGGCAUAACUAUAGACAUUGAAGGUGAAACACAAGAGUAAGACUCUGUUCCUUAAGGAGCUCUCAGUUCACUGGAUGAGACAGAAGGAAGCCACCGACUCUGAAAGGAAACAGAGUGUGGCAAAGAUGGGGCAGAGGAGUGAGCACAGACAGGAUCAAGAGAAAGGGGAGACAAACCAUUGUCAUCAGUGCAACCUUUCUGGGGAGCAAUGUGUGAGUUGAGCUUUGGAGAAGAAAUAAGGAAGCUGGAUGUGGUGGCUCACUCCUGUAGUUUCAGCACUUUGGGAGGCCAAGGCAAGUGGACAGCUUGAAUCCAGGGGCUUGAGACCAGCCUGGGCAACAAGGUGGUCUCAAGAUGCUCUAUGACUUGUCCUUCUGACUCAACAGACCCAAUGAUACUUUAAGUGUGGCAAAAGGUGAAACCCCAUCUUUACUGAAAAUACAACAAAUUAGCCAAGCAUGGUGGCACGCAUGUGUGGUUACAGCCACUUGGGAGGCUGAGGUGGGAGAAUCACCUGAGCCUGGAAGGUCAAGGCUGCAGUGAGCUGAGAUCGCACCAGUACACUCCAGCCUGGGCAACCGGAGUGAGACCCUGUCUCAAAAAAACAUGAAUAAAUAAAUAAAUAAAUAAAUAAAUAAAUAAAUAAGAAGAGCCUUCCAGAGCAGUAUGGAAUGGCCAAUGCCCCUCCUCCCUGCUGCUCCUCCUCCUGUAGCUGUUUCCUUCUCCCCUCUCUCCUUGCUUGGAACAGCCACAGCGACUCUCCAAAUCAUGACACUCAAAAUGCCACUUCUAAAAAGAACAUCAGGGUUGGUGCCUCUGCUUCUUCUGAAUUGACCUCCCUUCUCUGCCCUCUUCUGACUCGUCCUCCCUUCUCUUUUGGAUGUAAUUCUUUCCAGCCUCCACACUCCUUUGACAGAAGAUGAAAAAUUUGUAUCUCUGAAUCCUAUAUCUGCUUGUCUAUGAUCUAAAUACUUUUUGAGUCAACAAGGUGAACAUAUUCCUCAUAUUUCGUUAUGGAAUGUUUAAAACGUCUAAAAUACACACUGCCACUGAGAAAGUAAAUUCAUGCACCUACAAAGAGAAAGGAAAGGACAGCCAUCCACCAUUUGACUACUGAGUUUCCACCUGCACCCUUCGACACUUAUUAGAACUUUCAUGAAACAGUGUGACAACUCUUAUUCCUAUCAAACAAAACAGAACUUUCUUCCUUGUAUGUAAAGAAGUUUGCACCCUCUACACCGAAUAAGGAGAUGCACAGUUCCAACAGUUAUUGUAUACAUCACUGACCAUAUUAGUCACUCCUCAAAAUCCAUCAUAGGUCCACCAAAUAUUCUGUUACCUUAAGACUACAUUGUAAGAUUAAACUCCAACAACAUGUAUAUACAACAAAUGAAUGGAGAGAAAAAUAAAAGUGGUGAGCGUAUAAUAUUAAUGUGUACAUAUUACAAAUAUGCAAAGCUACUACCACACUUGAUUUUGUAAUUUAUCAUGAGGCCACGACACCUUUUAAAAAAUAUAUUUAAAAAAUAUAAAAAUUUAUUUUAAAAAUAUUUAUUCUUUUCACUACGCUUCUUUUAUUUUGUGGAAUCAGGCCAUGAUGGUACGUUUGUUUUCUUGUUUCACUACCCAUUCCAUAUUUUCCCGGUCCUCACUGAGAACCUCAAUUUGUCUCAGGUCUUUGUCUAAUAUGAGUGACCUAAAUCACCAAAGUCCAGUCCUGAAGACAGGCUUUUCUGGGGAAUAUGCAGGGUUUGAGCAGCCGAGGCCCACUGAGUGAGCCCUUUCCAGGCACCAAGGGAAAUGCCUUCAGGAUAAGGAGGAAGAAAAAUCUAACCAAAGAUCCAAACCAUAGGACCAUGUGGACAUGGCUACAAUGCCAGGUGAUUCCCAAAGAGCAGAUACUGAUGAACUUCCCAUGAGGGAAAUUCUCUCUUAUCAGUCCAUGAGAGGGCAAACACACUUAAAGCUCUGAGCAGUUAUCAGGAGAAGAUGCCUGAGCAGCUUUGGUGCUGACUGUGAAGAAACUGCAGGAUGACCAGAAAGACCUGAAUCUCCAUGCUGAGGUCUGUGCUGUGAGGACAGGGAUGUAUCUAAUGCAUCUAACUCCACCUUCUACCCUGACUUCAAACUCUUCAAGAAUAAACUGCAUCAGGGCAGAGGCUGAGGAACUUCAGUCCAUAAUAAAACGUGAGGCCUUAUGCCCGGCAAGGUGUGUCAGAGACUUGAUGGCAACCAAGGUUGCCAAACAUGUCAAUUCUUCUGGACACAGGGUCACAAGUCAUGGACAUGCCAAGAAAUGUCUAUGCCCAUUUUGAAAAAUUAACUGGAUUUGGAAGUAACUCUGAACAAUGGGCUGAUAUAUCUUUGUGGGUGGGCCCUUUUGUGCCAAUAUACACUGGAGUGGCUGUAAUUAAUAAUGCUGAAUGUAUUGUGGGAAUACAUGUAGAGUGUGUAUGUAAUACUAUGUUUAACUGUAAAGGACAUUCCCUGUAAGAAAAUACAAAGUAGAACAAUGGAGAGGCACAAGUACAUAAGCGGGAGUAACAGUACGUGUUGUUACACGCCAACAUCCCUAUCCUGGGGUGGGGCAGAAAUGAGAAGUCUAACAAAGUGGAUAUUGCCCGACAAGCAUCCAUUACUAAUGGAGGUGUUACAUCCAGGAAAGAAGUAAACUAGACAUUAAUGGCAUCUCACAGCUACAUGAAAAAGUGCCUAGUCACCCUCUAGAUGUGGCUGUCUCAGACACAGGAUCUGUGCCAGCACCGUGGGCUUCUUGGGGACUUUAGUGCACUGAAGUCCUUGAGGAUACCUGGGCUUGGUUCACAGAUGGGUCAGCUAAGUUCAAGACCAGUGGGGGAUAUUGGGCUGCUGCUGCUGUGGAGCCCCAAAGGAAAUUGCCCAAAACUGCAUGGAAAAAGGAACUCUGCUCAGUUGGUGGAGUUGCCGGCCAACACUUGCCCUAGAAACACCCCCCUGCCCCCAAAAUGCACCUUGUUACAAUUCACUGACUUGUGGGCAGUCAACAGUGGAAUUGGCAGUGUGGUGCUGGUGAUGAGAUGACUGGACGAUCAAGUUGUAGCUUCCAUGAGGACAAAUAUUAUGGUGCAGAUUGCACAAGAUUUCAACCCCCGGUUUGUGACACUUGUGGAUGCCAAGAAAAAAGACCCUUCAAUAAUGGACAUCACUGAAAUCCACAAGCUGAUCAGGAGACCUGUACUGCCCUGGUGCCAGGAGCCAUUAAAAGAUGGAAUGUGCUGCCCUUAAAGAGAAACGGAUAAAGGUAACUAACAGUGAAGCCUAUGCACCAAGUGGAGCAUAAUCAUCAUGAAGGCACUUUGGGCAAAAAAUGUGGCAGUUCCCUGAAAUGGUACCUUCUAUUAUAUUUAAAUAGAAUUUGUGACAGAUUGGAACAGAGGAGGCCCAGGCAGCCUAUAAAAUUCCCAAACCACAUAAUUAACACUUCUUGCACUAUCUUCUGUGUCUACUUCUGAGCUACUGGAAUUUCGGAGUAGCAAAAAUGAGCCAGAGAAUAGGUGACUCUAAUAUGGUACAUCUUUUGCUGUCUGGCUAUGCUUACUGAAUUUAGGCAGUUAUGGACAUUGAUGAUAAUGAUCAUGAAUAUGAGGUGGCAAUUCCUAAGGUAGUUCUGGUGGACCUCAGUGCAUCAGUGGGGAAGAGAGAGUUUUUAGGGUGGUACAAAGUAUAUAAGGAAGAAACUCCUGAGCCACUUAAGGAUGAGUCUGAAUGUGUGGUGUUGGCUAGAUGUGGGAAGAGCUGCAAACACAGUGAAGUGAAUGCUGCAAGGACUGGUCAUACUGACCACCCAGCUGUGCAAGGAGAAGAGCAACCCUGGUUGAUGUGAGGAGAGAACAUCUUGGGCCCUGGAGUGUCAGGGGUGGUGGGAGUUGUCUGCAGGGCAUCUGGCCAAUUUAACCCAGAGUGCCACCACCACCCUCCACUGCUGGCCAGCAUAGAAUCUUAAUCAGAACCCUCCCAAUAGCCCUUGGCACCAGGAAAUAGCUUCCAGUGACGUGGAAGAACAAGGUUAACUUUGCAGACACUCAUGUUGUUAGAAUUUUUAAUAUGCUUUUCACCGACUAUUCUAAACUCUGUAGCAUGAGUGAUAAUGGACAAUCAUAUUGCCCUGGACUUCCUGCUGGCCAGUGAGUGUGGGAGGUGUGUGGUUGAUAACACCUCAUGCUGCACCUGGGUUAGUAACAUAUUUCACUGGCUUAACUCCAGAUGUGGCAUCUGGCUAUGGUCUGAUUGCACUAAUGUAAUAGCAUGAUCACUCUCAUCUAAUUUUGCCCAAGACAAACAGAACAGACUUGGUCUGAUACGUUUACAGUUACUUAAAGAAUGUAAUAAUGGUGGCCUAUGCUACCAAGAAUUCUUCACUGCAUAUGUGAACAAGCAGGAGGUGGCGCAUGAAGUUGUAGGGGAAUGCCCCCACCUUGCACCCUGACAACCUUGCACAUAUCCACACAGGCCUUCUGGGUAAAGGCACGGAUCACAGGUAAUCUGACUCUUGGCAGAACACCCUGUUAUCCUCCUGGAACACAGGGUGAGAGGCCUAUAAGGAGCUGCUGUAAGGCCAUUUCCCACUCCUGUAUAUAUGCUAAGAGGCUGAUAUUGCCUCUUGGGUUCUGAUGAGGUAUGAGGCUUUCUACCCCACCCUCUUCAGAAUAGAGUUGCAUAACAGAGUUGCAGAAUUGGAUCCUCAGCAGUGGGUACCCUCCAACUUGUCUUGCAGUCAUCUGGCUCCUUUCAUUUCAGUUUCGUGUGUGUGUAUGUGUGUGUGUGUGUGUGUGUGUGUGUGUGUGUGUGUGUGUAGGGAUGUGGUUGGGGGACAAGAACCACAGGGAGCUGUCACCUUUGACUAUUCUUCCUUUCAGUGUCUACGUCUACGUACAUAAUAAACAAUCUAAAU
rnacentral:lncRNA from 1 species